rnacentral:tRNA from 1 species
CAUUAGGUGGCUGAAAUCAAGUAAAGGUCUCUUAAACCUUCUAAUAAUAAAGUAGUGAUUAUUUCUAAUGA